rnacentral:lncRNA from 1 species
GUCACAGGGAAAUAAUUACUAUAGUGAAAUGGAGCUUCCCUAAUGACAACAGAUGCUGAUUAACCUUUCUUCGUCUCCAAUUUCAGAAAAAGCACGAUAGUGAGGCUGCUGUUUCGCUUCUAUGAGCCUCAAAAGGGUAGCAUUUACCUUGCUGGUCAAAAUAUUCAAGAUGUGAGCCUGGAAAGUCUUCGGCGUGCAGUGGGAGUAGUACCUCAGGAUGCUGUCCUCUUCCAUAAUACUAUCUACUACAACCUCUUAUAUGGAAACAUCAAUGCGUCACCAGAGGAAGUAUAUGCAGUCGCAAAAUUGGCUGGUCUUCAUGAUGCAAUUCUUCGAAUGCCACAUG